rnacentral:miRNA from 2 species
AAGUUUUUUGGGAUUUGCUGAGGA